UACGUAGGGUGCAAGCGUUAAUCGGAAUUACUGGGCGUAAAGCGUGCGCAGGCGGUUUUGUAAGCCAGAUGUGAAAUCCCCGGGCUCAACCUGGGAAUGGCAUUUGGGACUGCAAGGCUGGAGUUUGGCAGAGGAGACUGGAAUUCCUGGUGUAGCAGUGAAAUGCGUAGAUAUCAGGAGGAAUACCGAUGGCGAAGGCAGGUCUCUGGGCUAUAACUGACGCUCAUGCACGAAAGCGUGGGGAGCGAACAGG
rnacentral:rRNA from 1 species